rnacentral:rRNA from 1 species
CUACGGGUGGCAGCAGUGGGGAAUAUUGGACAAUGGGCGAAAGCCUGAUCCAGCCAUGCCGCGUGUGUGAAGAAGGCCUUCGGGUUGUAAAGCACUUUCAGUGGGGAAGAAAGCCUUGGGGCUAAUACCCUCGAGGAAGGACAUCACCCACAGAAGAAGCACCGGCUAACUCCGUGCCAGCAGCCGCGGUAAUACGGAGGGUGCGAGCGUUAAUCGGAAUUACUGGGCGUAAAGCGCGCGUAGGCGGUCUGAUAAGCCGGUUGUGAAAGCCCCGGGCUCAACCUGGGAACGGCAUCCGGAACUGUCAGGAUAGAGUGCAGGAGAGGAAGGUAGAAUUCCCGGUGUAGAGGUGAAAUGGGUAGAGAUCGGGAGGAAUACCAGUGGCGAAGGCGGCCUUCUGGACUGACACUGACGCUGAGGUGCGAAAGCGUGGGUAGCAAACAGGAUUAGAUACCCUGGUAGU